CGAAAGCCUGACGGAGCAACGCCGCGUGUGGGAAGAAGGCUCUUGGGCUGUCAACCACUUUUCUCAGGGAAGAAGACCUGACGGUACCUGAGGAAUCAGCCUCGGCUAACUCCGUGCCAGCAGCCGCGGUAAUACGGAGGAGGCAAGCGUUAUUCGGAAUUAUUGGGCGUAAAGCGUCCGCAGGGGGCUCAUCAAGUCUGCUGUUAAAGGUCGGAGCUCAACUCCGGUUCGGCAGUGGAAACUGGGAGGCUAGAGUACGGCAGGGGUAGAGGGAAUUCCCAGUGUAGCGGUGAAAUGCGUAGAUAUUGGGAAGAACACCGGUGGCGAAAGCGCUCUACUGGGCCGUGACUGACCCUGAGGGACGAAAGCUAGGGGAGCG
rnacentral:rRNA from 1 species